rnacentral:rRNA from 1 species
GAAUCAACGCUGGCGGCGUGCCUCAGACAUGCAAGUCGAACGAUUAAACUUUCCUUCGGGAAAGAUAUAAAGUGGCGCACGGGUGAGUAACACGUAGGUAAUGUACCUUUGGGUGGGAAGUAACCAUCGAACGAUGGCUAAUACCGCAUAAUGCAGCGGCAUCGCAAGAAUGACAGUUGUUAAAGACGAGCAAUCGCGCCUAAAGAGCAGCCUGCGGCAGAUUAGGAGUUGGUAAGGUAAUGGCUUACCAAGCCUGCGAUCUGUAACCGACCUGGAGGGGGUGUCGGG